ensembl:snoRNA SNORA73 Small nucleolar RNA SNORA73 family
CUGUUCUGAUCCAGGAGGCCACUCUCCUGAGGUUUAGGGCUACCAGGACGGGGCAACAUGGGGCUCAGCCCCGUGACAAACAAAAUCAUUCUGAUGACAGGAGACAAGCUGGCCCGAGUCCACACCUAAAUAUUCUUACCACUUCUCAAAGUGGUGUGGAAAAUGACAGAGGAGAUGAACCAUGCAGGAAACAGCC